UCUAGUUGAAUUUUAAUCACCAAUCAAGAUUUAAUUCAGUUUCCUCGGUGAUUCCUUCCCAUUCUCCAGUUGAGGUUUGUCAAAUAGUGAUUUCUCUAGAUUCUUCUUAUCUAUCAUGUCCCUUCGAAUCCGAUUCAGAUUACUUACAGAGAAAAAGAAAGUACAUGAAAGAUCAGAAAAAGAAUGUGAUUUCGAUCGAUUUUCCUGUUUCCCCGUCAAUUCUGUCUCAUUCUACAAUUGCGGUUUUUCAAAUCGUGGUUUCUCUUAGCUUCUUUUUUAAUUGAAUUUCACAGUUUUGUGUAUUUGAAUGUCUCAUUUUACAUAAGGUUAUUUAAGAUCGUCAAUUCUGUCUCUCUUUUAGGAUAAAAUUUGGGAGUGAAAGGUUUGAGUUCUGCAAUGAGCCUAGUGUUCACUAGCUUUUUCAAUUGCCAAUUGAAAAUGAUGGGUCAACAGUUUCUUCGAUGCAAAACUUCUUUGUGAAAAGGUAUAUAUCUUUUAUUCUAUUCAUGGCACGUACAUUAAACAUGAUAGUGUUUUGUGAUAUAAAUGUUCACUUGAUUUAAAUUAAUGAAUUUAUUUUAUGCUAUUGAUGUCUUGUGAAGUGUUGGCUUGAGUAGUGCUAGCAACACACUCUAAUAAAAUUGCAUUUUCCUCGGUUCUGUCACGAUAUUGAUGAAUUUUUUCUAAGCAUUUCUUUUUUG
rnacentral:lncRNA from 1 species